GUUGAACGCUGGCGGCAUGCCUUACACAUGCAAAUCGAACGGUAACGCGCCUUCCUUGGCCGACGAGUGUUAGGCGCGUGCGUGAUACAACCGCACGUGCCCGAUCCUGGUGGAUAAGGAAGCGAAAGCGUUGCCAAGACCUCAUACGAGCUACGGUCGAGAGCCGGGGACCGCAAUGCCUUGCGCCGGCGUAGCGGCCGGUGGUAGAUUGGGGAGUUGGUGGGGUGAAAGCUUAUCAAGGCGACGAUGUGGAGGUGGUCUGAGAGGAUGAUCAGCCACACUGGAACUGAGACACGGCCCAGACUCCUACGGGAGGCAGCAGUAGGGAAUUUUGGGCAAUGGGCGGAAGCCUGAUGCAGCCAUGCCGCGUGCGUGAUGAAGGCCUUCGGGUCGUAAACUGCUUUUAUACGGAACGAACAGCCUUCUUUUAAUACAGGAGGGUCAUGACGGUACCGUAAGAAUAAGCACCGGCUAACUACGUG
rnacentral:rRNA from 1 species